GAUGAACGCUGGCGGCGUGCCUAAUACAUGCAAGUCGAGCGAACAGACGAGGAGCUUGCUCCUCUGACGUUAGCGGCGGACGGGUGAGUAACACGUGGAUAACCUACCUAUAAGACUGGGAUAACUUCGGGAAACCGGAGCUAAUACCGGAUAACAUGUUGAACCGCAUGGUUCAACAGUGAAAGACGGUCUUGCUGUCACUUAUAGAUGGAUCCGCGCCGUAUUAGCUAGUUGGUAAGGUAACGGCUUACCAAGGCAACGAUGCGUAGCCGACCUGAGAGGGUGAUCGGCCACACUGGAACUGAGACACGGUCCAGACUCCUACGGGAGGCAGCAGUAGGGAAUCUUCCGCAAUGGGCGAAAGCCUGACGGAGCAACGCCGCGUGAGUGAAGAAGGUCUUCGGAUCGUAAAACUCUGUUAUUAGGGAAGAACAAAUGUGUAAGUAACUAUGCACGUCUUGACGGUACCUAAUCAGAAAGCCACGGCUAACUACGUG
rnacentral:rRNA from 1 species